ACCGUCGACAGUCAGGUAACGAGCGAGACCCACGCCAACAGUUGCCAGCUCGUCCUCCGGGAUAGAGGGGACACUGUUGGGACCGCCUCUGCUAAAGAGGAGGAAGGAAUGGGCAACGGUAGGUCAGCAUGCCCCGAAUUAUCUGGGCUACACGCGGGCUACAAUGGGUGGGACAAUGGGUAUCGACACCGAAAGGUGAAGGCAAUCUCCUAAACCCAUCCUUAGUUCGGAUUGUGGGUUGCAACUCACCCACAUGAAGCUGGAAUCCGUAGUAAUCGUGUCUCAAAAUGGCACGGUGGAUAUGUCCCUGCUCCUUGCACGAAUUCGCCG
rnacentral:rRNA from 1 species